GACAGAGGGUGCAAACGUUGUUCGGAGUUACUGGGCGUAAAGGGUGCGUAGGCGGCUUUUUAAGUUUGGUGUGAAAUCUCCCGGCUCAACUGGGAGGGUGCGCCGAAUACUGAGAGGCUAGAGUGUGGGAGAGGAAAGUGGAAUUCCUGGUGUAGCGGUGAAAUGCGUAGAUAUCAGGAGGAACACCGGUGGUGUAAACGGCUUUCUGGACCAUAACUGACGCUGAGGCACGAAAGCGUGGGUAGCAAACAGG
rnacentral:rRNA from 1 species